rnacentral:rRNA from 1 species
UUGACCUCGGAUCAUGGCAGGGAUACCCGCUGAACUUAAGCAUAUACAAUAAGCGGAGGAAAAGAAACCAACAGGGAUUGCCUCAGUAACGGCGAGUGAAGCGGCAACAGCUCAAAUUUGAAAUCAUGGCUCUUUCAGGGUCCGAGUAGUAAUUUGUAGAGGAUGCUACGGCGUGGGCGUCCGGUCUAAGUUCCUUGGAACAGGACGUCAUAGAGGGUGAGAAUCCCGUAUGUGAUCGGCUGCCUUUGCCAUGUGAAGCUCCUUCCAUGAGUCGAGUCGUCUGGGAAUGCAGCUCUAAAUGGGAUGUAAAUUUCUACU